GGUCUUUAAGUGUUUGUACUUUCAGGGUGGAAAUGUGUUCAUAAUCUAUAUCUUCAGUUCAUAUAAAAAUGAUGUGUGUGUUUGCAUGUUCAUAUUAUACAGGUACACUGCUGGACACGAGUGGUCUGUAUGAUGAGGAAGCCAGCUCACCAGAGAGCCUACAAAAGGUUAUGGAGAAUGAAGAGGGGAGAAAAGAGUACUUGGUGUUCCCUUCUAGCAAGAACCAUUGUCCCAGCCAGAAGGGGCGCAAAAUCCCCCUGAAAGGCAAUGGUAGGAGAAUCGAUUACAUCCUUUAUAAAGAGGAAGGCCUGCAGCCAGACUGGAAAGUGGAUAUAGAGGAGUUCAGCUUCAUCACUCAACUUGCUGGAUUGACUGACCACCUCUCAGUGGCUGCAAGAUUGAUUGUGUCAACUGGAGAAGAGGAGACUUAGGACCCGGCCAUAAUUAAAAAAAAAAAUCAAUGCCACGAAGAAAGAGGGGAGAGGCAAAGCGAGAGAAGUGAGUGAAAGGAAAAACAGCAGGAGGAGGCAUUCGUCAAACUUCCCGACAGAUGAGGGCAGGGUGAUUGAGAGGGUUGGUAAGUCAUAAAAAACGAUGGAUGAGAUAGAUGGAGAACACAGACAAGAGAUGGGGUGAAGGGAAGGAGAAAACCACCAAUCAGCUCAAAGCAGCAUAAAGGUGUGUGAUUUUGUGGACCUUGGUUCUCCAUCCACCCCAGGACUCUGUGUUUACAUCUGAACUGAAGAACAAAAUUAAAGAUUUACUCACCUUUGCACUUCUGAAGCUUCUCUGGGGCCCUUAAAGGGGCAGAGGCCAUUUUCUGGUGCCAUGACCCGGAUAUCCGAAUGAAGGCUGUUGCAUGGAAGAAUGCAUACAUUGACUAUUCCGGUUGUCCUGUCACACAAUAGGGACAAGGAUGUGUACGUCUGUGUGUUUAAAGUUCCACCGCAAGAUCUAUCCCUCAGCAUUCUUCAAAAGACCUCAGCAAGUGUCUUUCUUUUCUAAAGUCUUUCUAAGGUUUCUAUGGCCUUGCGCCAUCUUUUUAGGGAGUUUAUAUACUGAUAUACAAUACUGAUCAAGGUUGCAUUGUAUGGCCUCAUGUAACACUAAGUUAAAUGAUUGAGAACAUGUUUUGUUGACCGCUGGGAUAUCAAGUCCUGAAGUAUGGCAGAGGAUGUCAUCGCUCAAAACUAUGGGAAAACUGAGCAAUUAAUGGGGAUUCAACCUCAGACUGUUGGUAGGUGCAUGUUUCUCAGUGCACUGCCAUGUUUGUCAUGGCCUGCAUGUUUGACGUGAAAUCCUGUGACGCAAUCAACACAGGGUAUUUUUCACACACAAGCCCCCUCCCCUAACACUUUUCCUUCUUGCAGUAUUGCUGUGGCUCAAUCACAGGAGAAUGAUGUCGUAAAGGGCAUCGCAUUUACACUGUUUACAUAUUUGAGCCAAGAUUGUCGUCCCCUGCAAAUGUUUACACACUUAUCAGGCAAUGGUACCCCAAAAACUACCCCAGGUAGACCCACUGAAGCUCGCUCUUCAUGUGUUAACACAAUUGCUUUUAUACUCUCUAAAAUUCUCUUGUUAUAAGUUGUUAUUAUUGCUAAUAUUGUUAUUAUUAUCAUUAUUCUUAUGAUUAAUAUGAUUCGUAGAUUUGACAUGUGCUUUUUACAAAUGACUACAUUCCCCAUGAUGCUUUAAUCUGCUUUUUGCUGUGUUAUAGGUUUCAGCAGUGUAGUGUAGAGCUCCGCCCUGUUUUGACUGACAGACUAAUUGGCCAAUCAGUAUGCCUAUAAACAACUUUAGAACUAAAUGCUGUGUUCCGUUCAGUUUUGAAUGCGCUAGGGAAUGCAACUGAAGCACCAGAUCCAAAAGGCAUUAUAUGUGUUUUUGCAUAUGUAUUCUCUGUAGAUGAGGAAAUACAUGCUAAAAUACUAAAAUAAUAACAGAACAUAUUUUUUCAUCAAUGGUUUGAAAUGUUUUGAGCAUGGAGAGUAACUCUUAAGAGUUGGAUCUUGUUAGUGAAUCAGCAUCAAACACGAUAGAUACUUUUUGAAGUCCGGUUCCUGAAUAAUUGACUCUUUUGAGCAAUAAAGUUGAAAAAAUUGACUGUUUUCGAUUGACCAAAAAUAACUUAUUCAAAAGCUUCACUUAUAUACAUAGCUGAUUCACUAAAAAGAACAGACUCUUAAGAGUUAGUGUUCAUGACAAUGUCUAGUUAAAAAACACAUUUUACAUGAGUUUUGUCAGUAUUUUAUAAAUAUUAAUAAAUAAAAGAUUUCAUGUUUUUGUUUAUUUUUUAAUUUUUAUUUACUAUAGCCUACAAGGUCAGAAAAAAAGAACUGAAAAGUCAUUAAAAAGUGCGUAAAAAUAUUUGUACAUUUUAUUGUAUUUAUUCAGCAAAUCAUUUUAUUUGUUUAAUGGAAUAAGUUUGUGGUUGGAAGCCAGUGAUAGAAACAUCCCACGUCAAACUUUGGAUGAAACGCAGCACUGAUCUAGUCCCAGUGCACCCUCAAGCCACUAAUUUUAAUCUUGCACAUCAUUCUUCAAUCAGGUCAGUGUGCCAUAAUAAUUAACCCUAUCCAGACCCACCAGUACUAAUGCCUAUAAGGGAGCACAGGUUAUGAUUCAGAUUAUCUCUUGGUAACCCAUGUUCAUUUAAUUUGAAAUAAAGCUCUUCCUAUCAUAUCUAAACUGACGUCAUUUUUCAAGGACACUGUCAAAGGGUCAGACAGGGAGGGAUGUAGUAGAGAUGCAUGCAGUGAAAUAAUGAAGCUUCACAAUUUCUCACUCUCAUGGCUGUAAAUUUAAGAUCUUACUGUUCUCUAUAUAUUGUUUUCGAAACUAUGUACUUUUUGUUGUUUUUUUCUCUUUUCUUUUAAAUUUCGAGGAAUGCUGCUUGCUUCAAGCUUUCAGCUGGUCAGGCUCUCAAGGGGAAACAUGGAAAGGGAAAAGCUUUCUCAGUGUCAGCUCUUUUUAAAUGCAUCUUGGUUCUGCUUUUUAUUAAA